rnacentral:rRNA from 1 species
UGAGGAAUAUUGCACAAUGGACGAAAGUCUGAUGCAGCGACGCCGCGUGGGUGACGAAGGCCUUCGGGUCGUAAAACCCUUUUGGCAGGGACGAGUGAGGACGGUACCUGCAGAAUAAGUCUCGGCUAACUACGUGCCAGCAGCCGCGGUAAAACGUAGGAGGCGAGCGUUAUCCGGAUUUACUGGGCGUAAAGCGUGCGUAGGCGGUUGGUCAAGUCAGAUGUUAAAGCCCCUGGCUCAACUGGGGGAGGUCAUUUGAUACUGAUCGGCUUGAGGGUGAGAGAGGAGAGUGGAAUUCCCGGUGUAGCGGUGGAAUGCGUAGAGAUCGGGAGGAACACCAGUGGCGAAAGCGGCUCUCUGGCUCACUUCUGACGCUGAGUGCACGAAAGCGUGGGUAGCA